rnacentral:rRNA from 1 species
GUUGUUCCUUGAGGAGUGGCUUCCGGAGCUAACGCGUUAAGUCGACCGCCUGGGGAGUACGGCCGCAAGGUUAAAACUCAAAUGAAUUGACGGGGGCCCGCACAAGCGGUGGAGCAUGUGGUUUAAUUCGAUGCAACGCGAAGAACCUUACCUACUCUUGACAUCCACAGAAUUUNGCAGAGAUGCNUUNGUGCCUUCGGGAACNCUGAGACAGGUGCUGCAUGGCUGUCGUCAGCUCGUGUUGUGAAAUGUUGGGUUAAGUCCCGCAACGAGCGCAACCCUUAUCCUUUGUUGCCAGCGAUUCGGUCGGGAACUCAAAGGAGACUGCCGGUGAUAAACCGGAGGAAGGUGGGGAUGACGUCAAGUCAUCAUGGCCCUUACGAGUAGGGCUACACACGUGCUACAAUGGCGCAUACAAAGAGAAGCGACCUCGCGAGAGCAAGCGGACCUCAUAAAGUGCGUCGUAGUCCGGAUCGGAGUCUGCAACUCGACUCCGUGAAGUCGGAAUCGCUAGUAAUCGUGGAUCAGAAUGCCACGGUGAAUACGUUCCCGGGCCUUGUACACACCGCCCGUCACACCAUGGGAGUGGGUUGCAAAAGAAGUAGGUAGCUUAACCUUCGGGAGGGCGCUUACCACUUUGUGAUUCAUGACUGGGGUG